AACGAACGCUGGCGGCAGGCCUAACACAUGCAAGUCGAGCGCACCUUCGGGUGAGCGGCGGACGGGUUAGUAACGCGUGGGAAUAUGCCCAAAGGUACGGAAUAGCCUCUGGAAACGGAGAGUAAUACCGUAUGUGCCCUUCGGGGGAAAGAUUUAUCGCCUUUGGAUUAGCCCGCGUCUGAUUAGAUAGUUGGUGGGGUAACGGCCUACCAAGUCGACGAUCAGUAGCUGGUUUGAGAGGAUGAUCAGCAACACUGGGACUGAGACACGGCCCAGACUCCUACGGGAGGCAGCAGUGGGGAAUCUUAGACAAUGGGCGCAAGCCUGAUCUAGCCAUGCCGCGUGAGUGACGAAGGUCUUAGGAUCGUAAAGCUCUUUCGCCAGGGAUGAUAAUGACAGUACCUGGUAAAGAACCCCGGCUAACUCCGUGCCAGCCGCCGCGGUAAUU
rnacentral:rRNA from 1 species